GCUUGGGCCAUUUCUUUUCAAGUGGCCAUUCAUUAGCACAUCAGUCUGCAGAGGAUCAGUAUACAGAGCGCUAGGGCUGAUGGUGGCAGCAUCACCAUGUGCCUUAGCCGUAGCUCCAUUGGCAUAUGCCACUGCUAUUAGUUCCUGUGCUAGAAAGGGAAUAUUGCUUAAAGGAGGCCAGGUUUUAGACGCUCUAGCAUCCUGCCACACAAUUGCAUUUGACAAAACUGGGACAUUGACAACCGGAGGGCUUAUGUUUAAAGCAAUUG
rnacentral:misc_RNA from 1 species